rnacentral:lncRNA from 1 species
CUUGGUCGGCGACUUUAUCUAUCGCUCAUUCGCAAAUAGCUCAUCACACGCAUCGCAUUGAAUCGCAUCGCGUGUGUUGUGUGUACGACACUGGAGGUGAGCGCAGGAUUGAAGAACUGUUCUACUUCCCUUUAAAAUAAGGAGCAAUUUCCAGCAUGCCGAAGGUCAGGAUUUCCGUUGUGUACUGUGGUGGAUGAGGGUAUGGUGUCAAAUUUCGGAAGCUGAAAACAGCUCUGUUAGAGGAGUUUGAUGCGAACAAGAUGGACAUUAUUGGGGAGUCCACCCCCGGUAUAACCGGUUAUUUGGAGGUCUCUGUCAAUGGCCAGCUUGUCCAUUCCAAGAAGAAUGGAGAUGGCUACAUUGACAGUGACGCAAAAGAGAAGAAGAUAUUUAAAGCUGUGAAAGCUGCCAUGGCUUAAAAUGUCUUCAGCGCAAACCAGGACCAAACGGACUUGACAUUGGGGAGUGGAUGGGCCUGUUUAUGACGGGAUGAGCUUAAACGUGACUAACCCUCACAGGGCUCGUGCCUGAUGCUUCACCAGGAACAUCCACUGGCAAUAGUCAACAGGAGUUUGAUUCUGCCAUUUCACUUAGCAGUACUUUAGAAUGUUUCGGGUACUAAAAUCUGUUUCUUAUGAACGUUAAAAACAUGCUCUCAGGUCGAGUGUCUUUUGUACAAAUAAGUCUUAUGAUGAACUUUUCACAUCUAGGACAAUCUUUCAAUAAACCUCAUGUUUUGUCAAACUUCACUUUAGGUGAAGACAGGUAUUCUGGAAUUGUACCGAACCAAAUUAAAAGCAAAUUUUGAAUUAAGUACCGCAAAAGUUCAAUGUCAGGAACAAUUAGGAACGACCAGGCAUGCUAGCAGGCGAAAGAUUGACACCUUGAGGCACUCAGAACUACACCAGAGCGACUUGGUUUCAGACAUCACUCUUUUCAUGGGCAGAACCCAAUGCAAAUGUAUGUAUUAAGUUCGUCUGUCUGGUAAAACAAUUCAAUUGGGUUGACCCUAGUCUCUCUUAAUUUUAUUUGGUUCAGUGCUACCCUAAGAACACCUAUUUGAAACGGGUGUACGAUGUAACUGAGUUUUUGAAUAAUAUUUUUUGCCCCAGAAUACAGCGUAGCAGUUAUUGCUUUAGCAGUACGAUGUUUCUUGGUGUGUGGAUUUCAUUUUGUUACAUAUAUGUUCCAUAUCAUUCAAUCAAAAUAUAUUGCUUAUAUUCUCUUCAGUAUCAGUACUUAUCUCCUUUAAAUCACCAACACAAAACCGGCAACUGCUGGGAGUUUUCCCCUUAAAAUUCACACGUUUUGCAGUGCACACUGAACACAUACUCUCAGGCCCAGUGUCUUUUGUACAAAUAAGUCAAAUGGUAAAUCAUCGGUCGGUUAAACUCAUGUUUCAUGUGCAAGACAUAACUAAGUUUUUAGACAAUAUUUUUGCCUCUGAAUGCAAUAUAGCAGUGAUUGAUUUAGCAAUUACAUAUCUACUUGGUGUGUGGUUUACAUUUUGUCUCGUAUAUGUGCCGUAACAUUCAAUAAAAAUACUUUGCUGUAUAUUCUCUUUUACAAUAGAUAUUCAAAGAUGAUCCUGGGUAUGAAUGAUUCUAGCAUAUCAGUACUGAUCUCCUUCAAAUCACCACUAGUCAAAAAAACGAAAUGGUUUUUGUCCGAAAAUUUUCAUAUCUAACAGGAACUGCUUGGCCGGGUUUCCCAUUAAAAUUGACAUGCGAAAGUCCUUACUACUGUGUCGUCUUAUAUCAAUAAGUUGCAUAGUGUAAGACUGGCUCACGAAAACAGUAGCAAAUCAGUGUCAACGCUUAUUUGUGGUCAUUCUCCAGAUGAAAUUGUCAUCACCCAUCAUUAGAAGACAAUCAGUUAUCAGUGUCUUGAAGUUUUUUCUAGUGGUGGUUGGCCUAUCACAGGUGGAUACAUUUUCUGUAGAUCCAUACAUCGGGCAGACCAAAUUUAAGCGUCGUGUUGAAGUAGUGGAGCUAUAAGUAAAUUAUUAUGGAAUGGUUUGUUUCUUAAGGUCAAUAAAAGAGGUGUGGGAAGCGAUUGUGA